CCUACGGGAGGCAGCAGUGAGGAAUAUUGGUCAAUGGACGAGAGUCUGAACCAGCCAAGUAGCGUGAAGGAUGAAUGCCCUAUGGGUUGUAAACUUCUUUUAUAUGGGAAUAAAAUGUUCCACGUGUGGGAUUUUGUAUGUACCAUAUGAAUAAGGAUCGGCUAACUCCGUGCCAGCAGCCGCGGUAAUACGGAGGAUCCGAGCGUUAUCCGGUUUUAUUGGGUUUAAAGGGAGCGUAGGUGGAUUGUUAAGUCAGUUGUGAAAGUUUGCGGCUCAACCGUAAAAUUGCAGUUGAAACUGGCAGUCUUGAGUACAGUAGAGGUGGGCGGAAUUCGUGGUGUAGCGGUGAAAUGCUUAGAUAUCACGAAGAACUCCGAUUGCGAAGGCAGUUCACUGGACUGCAACUGACACUGAGGCUCGAAAGUGUGGGUAUCAAACAGGAUUAGAUACCCGGGUAGUC
rnacentral:rRNA from 1 species